rnacentral:rRNA from 1 species
UACGUAGGCAGCAAGCGUUGUUCGGAAUUACUGGGCGUAAAGAGUGUGUAGGCGGUGCUCUAAGUUCGGUGUGAAAUCUCCCGGCUCAACUGGGAGGGUGCGCCGGAAACUGGGGGUGCUGGAGCGCGGGAGAGGAAAGCGGAAUUCCUGGUGUAGCGGUGAAAUGCGUAGAUAUCAGGAGGAACACCGGCGGUGUAGACGGCUUUCUGGACCGUAGCUGACGCUGAGACACGAAAGCGUGGGUAGCAAACAGG